CAUCAUGCACACACGGACUUAUUUAACAAGCACGACGACUACGCUGACGAUGGAAGCUUCAUCAUCAUAAGUAGUGGCAGGCGAAGUUGGCCUUCUUGAACAUGGCGGCCUGCGCGGCGGCGGCGACCUCGGAGGUGAGCGCGACGGCGAUGCAGUCCUUGACCUGCUGCGUGGAGUAGGCGUACUUCUUGGCGGCGAUGGAGUUGAGGUAGGCGGCGGCGCCCUCGCGGAGGAGGUCGCCGUAGCAGUCGGUGCGGGUGUUGCACAGCGCGUCCUGCAGCGUCUGCAGCUUGCUCCCGAAGAAGGCGCUGCACACGUCGCCGAAGGAGCCCAGGAUGCUCCCCAGCGACCCGAUGCACGAGAUGAUCGCGUCCGGGUGGCUCUUCCAGUAGCUGCAUGCAAAUAAUCUUUUAGUAACCGGCCGGGAAAUGUCUCGAUGCAUAUGCACUGCGGCUUAUAUUGCGCGCGGGUCUUAGCUUGCUUCUUACUCGCAGGUUCCGGUGCCGGAGUAGCCGGGCGUGUAGCCGCCACCGCCGCCUCCGUACCCACCGCCACCGCCACCGCCGCCGCCGCCGCCGCCACCGUACCCACCGCCACCGCCUCCCCCGCCGUACCCGCCGCCGCCUCCUCCG
rnacentral:lncRNA from 1 species